CGUGAAGAGGGCACAACAACGCCUUUUUCCCCUCAGGAGGCUGAAAAGAGUUGGUCUGGGCCCUCAGAUCCUCAAUCUGUUCUAUAGCUACACCAUUAAGAGCAUCUUGACUGGCUGCAUCACCAAUUGGUAUGGCAACUGCUUGGUAUCUGACCACAAGUCGCUACAGAGGGAGGAUGAUGGUGACGGAUAGAUAUGGAUGAUACGCCAACUGCUUUUCUGUGGUAAACAAGUGCUGGUGUAAUCCAUACCUGGAUGGCCGCCAAAUGUGUCUGCAGACACCUGCGUCAGCCCUGCUCAGAAAAAAAGGAAAAAAAUAACAGAUUUUCCCUCCUCCCCUCUCUCCCCCUGCUCUCUUCAGUCUCUUUGUAUGUCAGUUGUUCUAACUGUGAUUGGAUAUGUUUGUGCAUAUAUACGUAUUUGUACAUGUUUGUGUAUGUGCAUGUGUGUGCAUAUGUGGGUAUGUGUGUGUGUAUGUGUGCAUUGGCUGGUUAGAAUGAGGCAUGUGACUUUCUUCCAGUGUGUGUGUGUGUGUGUGUGCGUGUGACCUCAAGGUCAACCUGCCCUCGGUGUCAAGCGGGAUUUAAAUGUGAUUGAAUUUGAAUUGAAUGCAGGAGAACUCGAUUACCGGUCUCCACUCCACUGUAUUACUGGCUUGUGGUGACCUCCCAGUCUGUCUGGGACAAGGCAGGCCUAUUGUUAUGUGUUGGCUUGAAUAAAGAGCACAUUUGUUUUGGGUCCUUACACAGUGAUUGUAUUAAAGACUCCCAUUGUUUCAGAUCAGUCAGUGUUUCACAUCAGAUAUAUCAGUCUAGAUGACAGAUUAGAAGAAAAUGUCAGGGUGGUUACUGUGUAUGUGUCCUUUCUAUAAUAUGUACUGUACCUCUUCUCAGUAUGAGCAAAAGUGGACGAACGUUGUCUCACUAUGAUUUAUGUUUUGUGGUUUCAAACCAGGGUGACACUUCAUUUUUUAAGGUAAUCUGAUAAGCUUUUAUUGAUAUUUCCCACUCAAACACAGUAUAUUUGUUGAAGUAGCUGUAUGUGUUUUUCCCA